rnacentral:rRNA from 1 species
GGCAGGCUAACACAUGCAAGUCGAGCGCCCCGCAAGGGGAGCGGCGGACGGGUGAGUAACACGUGGGAAUUUUCCUCAAGGUACGGAACAACUCAGGGAAACUUGGGCUAAUACCGUAUGAUGCAGAGAUGCCAAAGAUUUAUCGCCUUGGGAUAAGCCCGCGUCAGAUUAGGUAGUUGGUGGGGUAAUGGCCUACCAAGCCUGUGAUCUGUAGCUGGUCUGAGAGGACGAUCAGCCACAUUGGGACUGAGACACGGCCCAAACUCCUACGGGAGGCAGCAGUGGGGAAUCUUGCGCAAUGGACGAAAGUCUGACGCAGCCAUGCCGCGUGAAUGAUGAAGGUCUUAGGAUUGUAAAGUUCUUUAGCCUGUGACGAUGAUGACGGUAACAGGAGAAUAAGCCCCGGCUAACUUCGUGCCAGCAGCCGCGGUAAUACGAAGGGGGCUAGCGUUGUUCGGAAUUACUGGGCGUAAAGCGCGCGUAGGCGGUUUUACAAGCCAGAGGUGAAAUGCCUGAGCUCAACUUAGGAAUUGCCUUUGGAACUGUAUGGCUUUGAGGACGAGAGAGGUGAGUGGAAUUCCCAGUGUAGAGGUGAAAUUCGUAGAUAUUGGGAAGAACACCCGGUGGCGAAGGCGGCUCACUGGCUCGUUACUGACGCUGUAGCGCGAAAGCGUGGGGAUCAAACAGGAUUAGAUACCCUGGUAGUCCACGCUGUAAACGAUGAGUGCUAGGCGUCGGCACGCUUGCGUGUCGGUGCCGCAGCUAACGCGUGAAGCAACUC